UCGAUAAUACAGUAUAUUAUAAUAAUAAUUAUAAUUGUAAUGAAAAUAAUUGUGUAAUGAAUCUGAUCGUUAUAAAUUAGGCAUGCGUUUAGUUACAAUUUGGAGUUGUGAUGUAUAACUUCGAUAGAUACAAUCUUGAAUUAUCAACACCUGGGAAUGCAACUUCAACGCCGCCUUUUUUCUUGUACGCCGAUACAAUAGUGUAAGUGCUGUGAAUCCAGCAAUAAGUGUUGAGAACAUCUUCGGGUCACCGUGAGCGUUCGUCCUUUCUCUUUCGCCGGUGGGUUCAAGGUUAACAAUAAUGCCAUACAAACUCAGAAACAGAGACCUAAGCUACAAACCAGACCCUCCGGAUUCCAGAUGCACCAGACCUUCCAUUCCCAGACUUGAAACAGCUUAAAAGAAGAAAAAACAUUUUUCUUAGCUGCGCCAAGAGAAUAAGAAGCACGAGUAGGAGGGGCCCCAUGAAAACCCGUGACUUGUGACUUAACAAGUCACGUACCCAGUUGCAUCAGAAAGAUCGUUUAGUUUUUUCUUUGUGGGUCUUUCUUGACUUUUCCCUUCUAUUUUCGAAAUGACAUUUGGAAAUUUAUUUGACACAUAUGGGCGCCUCUUACACUCCAGGUCUGGUCAGCAAACUGUUAUUUUAACGCCGCAGUGUAUUAUUUUAUACCUACUAUAUAUUAUACCUGUAUUAUAGUAAUUAUUACUCACAUCUCACGUCGAUUGUUGACAGUAAAUAAACAAUGGAUGAAUUUA
rnacentral:lncRNA from 1 species